GACGAACGCUGGCGGCGUGCUUAACACAUGCAAGUCGUACGGUAAGGCCCUUUCGGGGGUACACGAGUGGCGAACGGGUGAGUAACACGUGAGUAACCUGCCCACAACUUUGGGAUAACGCUAGGAAACUGGUGCUAAUACUGGAUAUGUGCUCCUGCUGCAUGGUGGGGGUUGGAAAGCUCCGGCGGUUGUGGAUGGACUCGCGGCCUAUCAGCUUGUUGGUGGGGUAGUGGCCUACCAAGGCGGCGACGGGUAGCCGGCCUGAGAGGGUGACCGGCCACAUUGGGACUGAGAGACGGCCCAGACUCCUACGGGAGGCAGCAGUGGGGAAGAUUGCACAAGGGGCGCAAGCCUGAUGCAGCAACGCCGCGUGCGGGAUGACGGCCUUCGGGUUGUAAACCGCGUUCAGCAGGGACGAAGCUUUUUGUGACGGUACCUGCAGAAGAAGCACCGGCUAACUACGUG
rnacentral:rRNA from 1 species